rnacentral:rRNA from 1 species
GUCUCGUGGGCUCGGAGAUGUGUAUAAGAGACAGAUUCCAAACGAACUUGGAGAUAGCUGGUUCUCUCCGAAAUAGCUUUAGGGCUAGCGUCGAUGUUAAGUCUCUUGGAGGUAGAGCACUGUUUGGGUGAGGGGUCCAUCCCGGAUUACCAAUCUCAGAUAAACUCCGAAUGCCAAUGAGAUAUAAUCGGCAGUCAGACUGCGAGUGCUAAGAUCCGUAGUCGAAAGGGAAACAGCCCAGACCACCAGCUAAGGUCCCAAAAUAUAUGUUAAGUGGAAAAGGAUGUGGGGUUGCACAGACAACUAGGAUGUUAGCUUAGAAGCAGCUAUUCAUUCAAAGAGUGCGUAAUAGCUCACUAGUCGAGUGACCCUGCGCCGAAAAUGUACCGGGGCUAAACAUAUUACCGAAGCUUUGGAUUGAUAUUUUAUCAAUGGUAGGAGAGCGUUCUUAACCGCGAUGAAGGUAUACCGUGAGGAGUGCUGGAGCGUUAAGAAGUGAGAAUGCCGGUAUGAGUAGCGCAAGAUAAGUGAGAAUCUUAUCCACCGUAAGACUAAGGUUUCCAGGGGAAGGCUCGUCCGCCCUGGGUUAGUCGGGACCUAAGGAGAGACCGAAAGGUGUAUCCGAUGGACAACAGGUUGAUAUUCCUGUACUAGAGUAUAUAGUGAUGGAGGGACGCAGUAGGCUAACUAAACCAGACGAUUGGAAGUGUCUGGCCAAGCAGUGAGGUGUGAUAUGAGUCAAAUGCUUAUAUCUUUAACAUUGAGCUGUGAUGGGGAGCGAAGUUUAGUAGCGAAGUUAGUGAUGUCACACUGCCGAGAAAAGCUUCUAGCGUUAAUUAUACUCUACCCGUACCGCAAACCGACACAGGUAGUCGAGGCGAGUAGCCUCAGGUGAGCGAGAGAACUCUCGUUAAGGAACUCGGCAAAAUGGCCCCGUAACUUCGGGAGAAGGGGCGCUGACUGAUGGUCAGCCGCAGUGAAUAGGCCCAAGCAACUGUUUAUCAAAAACACAGCUCUCUGCUAAAUCGUAAGAUGAUGUAUAGGGGGUGACGCCUGCCCGGUGCUGGAAGGUUAAGAGGAGUGCUUAGCGUAAGCGAAGGCAUGAAUUGAAGCCCCAGUAAACGGCGGCCGUAACUAUAACGGUCCUAAGGUAGCGAAAUUCCUUGUCGGGUAAGUUCCGACCCGCACGAAAGGCGUAAUGAUUUG